AUUGAAUACAGCAUAUAACCUAAGCAAGCCCACAAAAAGUCCUAGCUGUGGAGUAUAGUCACAUGUGUAUACCCUGUCCAUCAGCCAGGUGAGCAAGCCUGGGCUAGUUAGCUGAAGGAUAAGAGACCAUGUGGAGGAAGCCAGAGGAGCCAUCCAUCUGGGGCCACCCAAGGUCAGCCAGCACCUCUAAUCACAGAGCCACGAGGGAGUUAGCCCAGAUUUAGAAGGCUGUGACCAAAGGUUUCAAUGGUAAAGAUGACUCAUACCUUAAAGAACUAGAAGAAUUUUUUUGUGGCUUCUCUAUCCAUUGUCUUGCUCUCAUAAAACUGCUGAAUGACACCCAAGUGUAAAACCCACCAAAGAAAUAAGCGCUGGAUGACAUGUGGCAGAUUUUCCAACUCUCCAGGAAAAACUUCAGAUCAACUUGUUUCUCUGGAAACUACUCACAUCCGGGGGCUGUCCCUGUCCCCUGGGACUCAUAAACGUUCCUAUCUUCAAGGCACAGGCUAAACCUAAGGUCAAAGCUGCUGUCUGCAGGAGUCCAUCUGCCAUAGACCCACAGUUCCUAAAACCUGCUGAUCAUUGCAAACCAGGCAAUUUACCCAACGAACUUUUCAAGGAAGUCAGAGUGGCUGUGAAAGAGAACUUUAAAAAAUACAGAAAUGCGGCCGGGCGCGGUGGCUCAUGCCUGUAAUCCCAGCACUUUGGGAGGCCCAGGAGGGCGGAUCACGAGGUCAGGAGAUCGAGACCAUCCCAGCUAACACGGUGAAACCCCGUCUCUACUAAAAACACAAAAAAUUACCUGGGUGUGGUGGUGGGCACCUGUAGUCCCAGCUACUCCGGAGGCUGAGGCAGAAGAAUCGCUUG